ACACCGUAAAUAAAUCACUGGAUGGAGGUAGGGCUCAAGGAGAAACUGCUAAACUUUUCAAAGACAACAUAAUAAAAAACUGUCUAUGGAGCCAUAGAAGAAAACUGGAGUCAUCCUGUGUGAAAAAGGAAAGCAGGCACAACACAAAACUGCUGACAAACACACCAAUGACCAUCAACACUAGCGCCGAGACAACAAAAGUGUGGCUUCUUUUUCCUGCCCUCAUCAGAAAUAUUUGAUACAAGAGGAAAGAACAAUUCUGCUGAGAAGGAAUUAAGAAGACACUGUAUUGUUGCCUGAUUUCUUCUGUAACGUAACUUUCCCAAAUUGGAAUCUGGUUCAAUAUUAAGAUAAUAGGACAAGUUCUGUUAUUAUCUACAAAUAAGAGUUACCAUAGCUUAGAUAUUGAACACCAAUCCCUUCUAAAAUUAGAGCUAGCCACUCUACAUGCAGUAAGCUACAGAGUCAAAUUGGAUAGAAGCCUGGAAUUAAAAGGUAAUGAGCUAUUUCAAGUGUUCCAAACAUCAAAUAAAAUGUUCCAUGAAGUA